UACAGAGGUCUCAAGCGUUGUUCGGAUUCAUUGGGCGUAAAGGGUGCGUAGGCGGCGCGGUAAGUCGGGUGUGAAAUCUUGGAGCUUAACUCCGAAACUGCAUUCGAUACUGCCGUGCUUGAGGACUGGAAAGGAGACUGGAAUUUACGGUGUAGCGGUGAAAUGCGUAGAUAUCGUAAGGAAGACCAGUGGCGAAGGCGGGUCUCUGGACAGUUCCUGACGCUGAGGCACGAAGGUCAGGGGAGCAAACGGG
rnacentral:rRNA from 1 species